rnacentral:rRNA from 2 species
GAUGGAGCACGCCGCGUGAGUGAUGAAGGUUUUCGGAUCGUAAAACUCUGUUGUUAAAGAAGAACAAGUGUUAGAGUAACUGUUAACACUUUGACGGUAUUUAACCAGAAAGCCACGGCUAACUACGUGCCAGCAGCCGCGGUAAUACGUAGGUGGCAAGCGUUGUCCGGAUUUAUUGGGCGUAAAGCGAGCGCAGGCGGUUUUGUAAGUCUGCUGUGAAAGCCCUCAGCUCAACUGAGGAAGUGCAGUGGAAACUACAAAACUUGAGUACAGAAGAGGAAAGUGGAACUCCAUGUGUAGCGGUGAAAUGCGUAGAUAUAUGGAAGAACACCAGUGGCGAAGGCGGCUUUCUGGUCUGUUACUGACGCUGAGGCUCGAAAGCAUGGGUAGCGAACAGGAUUAGAUACCCUGGUAGUCCAUGCCGUAAACGAUGAAUACUAGGUGUUGGAGGGUUUCCGCCCUUCAGUGCCGCAGCUAACGCAUUAAGUAUUCCGCCUGGGGAGUACGACCGCAAGGUUGAAACUCAAAGGAAUUGACGGGGGCCCGCACAAGUGGUGGAGCAUGUGGUUUAAUUCGAUGCUACGCGAAGAACCUUACCAGCUCUUGACAUCUUCUGCCAACCCAAGAGAUUGGGCGUUCCCUUCGGGGACAGAAUGACAGGUGGUGCAUGGUUGUCGUCAGCUCGUGUCGUGAGAUGUUGGGUUAAGUCCCGCAACGAGCGCAACCCUUAUUAUUAGUUGCCAGCAUUUAGUUGGGCACUCUAGUGAGACUGCCGGUGAUAAACCGGAGGAAGGUGGGGACGACGUCAAAUCAUCAUGCCCCUUAUGAGCUGGGCUACACACGUGCUACAAUGGAUGGUACAACGAGUCGCGAAACCGCGAGGUCAAGCUAAUCUCUUAAAGCCAUUCUCAGUUCGGAUUGCAGGCUGCAACUCGCCUGCAUGA